AUUGAACGCUGGCGGCAGGCUUAACACAUGCAAGUCGAGCGGAGAUGAGGUGCUUGCACCUUAUCUUAGCGGCGGACGGGCGAGUAAUGCUUAGGAAUCUGCCUAUUAGUGGGGGACAACAUUCCGAAAGUAAUGCUAAUACCGCAUACGCCCUACGGGGGAAAGCAGGAGAUCUUCGGACCUUGCGCUAAUAGAUGAGCCUAAGUCGGAUUAGCUAGUUGGUGGGGUAAAGGCCUACCAAGGCGACGAUCUGUAGUGGGUCGGGGAGGAUGGACCGCCAAACUGGGACUGAGACACGGGCCAGACUCCUAACGGAGGCAGCAGUGGGGAAUAUUGGACAAUGGGCGGAAGGCUGAUCCAGCCAUGCCGCGUGUGUGAAGAAGGCCUUUUGGUUGUAAAGCACUUUAAGCCAGGAGGAGGCUACCUGGAUUAAUACUCUAGGAUAGUGGACGUUACUCGCAGAAUAAGCACCGGCUAACUCCGUGCCAGCAGCCGCCGUAACAC
rnacentral:rRNA from 1 species